rnacentral:rRNA from 1 species
UACGGGGGGUGCGAGCGUUGUCCGGAUUUAUUGGGUUUAAAGGGUGCGUAGGCGGUUUUGUAAGUCAGUGGUGAAAUACUCCAGCUUAACUGGAGGGGUGCCAAUGAUACUGCAGAACUUGAGUACAGAUGAGGUAGGCGGAAUUGACGGUGUAGCGGUGAAAUGCAUAGAUAUCGUCAAGAACACCGAUAGCGAAGGCAGCUUACUGGGCUGUAACUGACGCUGAUGCGCGACAGCGUGGGGAGCAAACAGG